rnacentral:tRNA from 3 species
GGUCCCGUAGCUCAGCUGGAUAGAGCGGCUGCCUUCUAAGCAGUUGGUCAGGGGUUCGAGUCCUCUCGGGAUCGCCA